rnacentral:rRNA from 1 species
UAGGGAAUCUUCNGCAAUGGACGGAAGUCUGACCGAGCAACGCCGCGUGAGUGAAGAAGGUUUUCGGAUCGUAAAGCUCUGUUGUAAGAGAAGAACGAGUGUGAGAGUGGAAAGUUCACACUGUGACGGUAUCUUACCAGAAAGGGACGGCUAACUACGUGCCAGCAGCCGCGGUAAUACGUAGGUCCCGAGCGUUGUCCGGAUUUAUUGGGCGUAAAGCGAGCGCAGGCGGUUAGAUAAGUCUGAAGUUAAAGGCCGUGGCUUAACCAUAGUACGCUUUGGAAACUGUUUAACUUGAGUGCAAGAGGGGAGAGUGGAAUUCCAUGUGUAGCGGUGAAAUGCGUAGAUAUAUGGAGGAACACCGGUGGCGAAAGCGGCUCUCUGGCUUGUAACUGACGCUGAGGCUCGAAAGCGUGGGGAGCAAACAGGAUUAGAUACCCUGGUAGUCCACGCCGUAAACGAUGAGUGCUAGGUGUUAGACCCUUUCCGGGGUUUAGUGCCGCAGCUAACGCAUUAAGCACUCCGCCUGGGGAGUACGACCGCAAGGUUG